AGGCCAUUGCUAUGGGGAUCCGAUUUAGCCAUGCUAGUCGCACGAGUUUAGACUCGUGGCAGAUAGCUCAGUAACACGUGGCCAAACUACCCUCUGGACAGGCAUACCCUCGGGAAACUGAGGCUAAUACCUGAUACUACUCCUGCCCUGGAAUGGGCGGAGAGCCAAACGCUCCGGCGCCAGCAGGCUGUGGCUGCGGCCGAUUAGGUAACGGUGGGGUAACGGCCCACCGUGCCAGUAAUCGGUACGGGUUGUGAGAGCAAGAGCCCGGAGACGGUAUCUGAGACAAGAUACCGGGCCCUACGGGGCGCAGCAGGCGCGAAACCUUUACACUGCACGCCAGUGCGAUAAGGGGAUCCCCAGUGCGAGGGCAUACAGUCCUCGCUUUUCACCACCGUACGAUGGUGGUGGAACAAGAGCUGGGCAAGACCGGUGCCAGCCGCCGCGGUAAUACCGGCAGCUCGAGCUGAUGGCCGUUCUUAUUGGGCCUAAGCGUCCGUAGCCGGCCACGCAAGUUCGUCGGGAAAUCCACAUGCUCAACAUGUGGGCGUCCGGCGAAACCUGCGUGGCUUGGGACCGGACGGCCCGAGGGGUACGGCCGGGGUAGGAGUGAAAUCCUGUAAUCCCGGCCGGACCACCGGUGGCGAAAGCGCCUCGGGAGGACGGAUCCGACGGUGAGGGACGAAAGCCAGGGUCACGAACCGGAUUAGAUACCCGGGUAGUCCUGGCCGUAAACGAUGCACCGUUAGGUGUGGCGUAGGCUACGAGCCACGCUGUGCCGCAGUGAAGACGCUAAACGGGCCGCCUGGGAAGUACGUCCGCAAGGAUGAAACUUAAAGGAAUUGGCGGGGGAGCACUACAACCGGAGGAGCCUGCGGUUUAAUUGGACUCAACGCCGGACAUCUCACCAGCAUCGACAGUGUGCAGUGACAGUCAGUGUGAUGAGCUUACUAGAGCCACUGAGAGGAGGUGCAUGGCCGCCGUCAGCUCGUACCGUGAGGCGUCCUGUUAAGUCAGGCAACGAGCGAGACCCGCACUCUUAA
rnacentral:rRNA from 1 species